rnacentral:rRNA from 1 species
UACGUAGGGUGCAAGCGUUAAUCGGAAUUACUGGGCGUAAAGCGUGCGCAGGCGGUCAUGUAAGACAGAUGUGAAAUCCCCGGGCUCAACCUGGGAACUGCAUUUGUGACUGCAUUGCUGGAGUGCGGCAGAGGGGGAUGGAAUUCCGCGUGUAGCAGUGAAAUGCGUAGAUAUGCGGAGGAACACCGAUGGCGAAGGCAGUCCCCUGGGCCUGUACUGACGCUCAUGCACGAAAGCGUGGGGAGCAAACAGG